GAUGAACGCUGGCGGCGUGCCUAAUACAUGCAAGUCGAGCGAACAGACGAGGAGCUUGCUCCUCUGACGUUAGCGGCGGACGGGUGAGUAACACGUGGAUAACCUACCUAUAAGACUGGGAUAACUUCGGGAAACCGGAGCUAAUACCGGAUAAUAUAUUGAACCGCAUGGUUCAAUAGUGAAAGACGGUUUUGCUGUCACUUAUAGAUGGAUCCGCGCCGCAUUAGCUAGUUGGUAAGGUAACAGCUUACCAAGGCAACGAUGCGUAGCCGACCUGAGAGGGUGAUAGGCCACACUGGAACUGAGACAAGGUCCAGACUCCUACGGGAGGCAGCAGUAGGGAAUCUUCCGCAAUGGGCGAAAGCCUGACGGAGCAACGCCGCGUGAGUGAUGAAGGUCUUCGGAUCGUAAAACUCUGUUAUUAGGGAAGAACAAAUGUGUAAGUAACUAUGCACGUCUUGACGGUACCUAAUCAGAAAGCCACGGCUAACUACGUG
rnacentral:rRNA from 1 species